rnacentral:rRNA from 1 species
AGGAUGAACGCUAGCGGCAGGCUUAACACAUGCAAGUCGAGGGACGGUAGCAAUACUGGACCGGCAAACGGGUGCGGAACACGUACGCAACAUACCCUGAACUGGGGCAUAGCCUUCUGAAAAGGAGAUUAAUACCCCAUAAGAUCGUAGGUAGGCAUCUAUCAGCGAUUAAAGAUUUAUGGUUCAGGAUUGGCGUGCGUCCUAUUAGCUAGUUGGUAAGGUACGCCUACCAAGGCGACGAUAGGUAGCUGGUGUGAGAGCACGACCAGCCACACGGGCACUGAGACACGGGCCCGACUCCGUACGGGAGGCAGCAGUGAGGAUAUUGGUCAAUGGAGGCAACUCUAGAACCAGCCAUGCCGCGUGAAGGAUGAAGGCGUUCUGUCGUUAGUUAAACGUUCGUUUUAGGACGGGGUAAAGAACCGU